rnacentral:rRNA from 1 species
UACGAAGGGGGCUAGCGUUGCUCGGAAUCACUGGGCGUAAAGCGCACGUAGGCGGACUCUUAAGUCAGGGGUGAAAUCCUGGAGCUCAACUCCAGAACUGCCUUUGAUACUGGGAGUCUUGAGUUCGGGAGAGGUGAGUGGAACUGCGAGUGUAGAGGUGAAAUUCGUAGAUAUCCGCAAGAACACCAGUGGCGAAGGCGGACUCACUGGCCCGAUACUGACGCUGAGGUGCGAAAGCGUGGGGAGCGAACAGG